CCAGGAUUCCCAUCAGCACUGACAUACCAGAGAGCCUAAACUUUUUCCUGAUCUAAGCCUCUUGUAUUUUCCUCUUUGCUUAAAGUAUGAGCUUUCAGGCGUGGUGGUGCACACUUUUAAUCCAGCACUUGGGGGACAGAGGUGAACCAAUCUCUGUGACAUGGUGGUCACCAUGCCCUAGCAUGGAUUGAGCUGCACCCCUGUGUGUUUGCAGCACGGUUGUUACCACUUCUUUGCUACCUCUCAUCUCCAGAGAUCACUACAGAACAAUUGACUUGGUCAAAAUAUUAUCCUGAGUCUUGACUGCUGUGAAAUGCACAAUAGUUGUGAUACAGAGGAUCCAACCACUUCUGGGACUCUUGCUCUCUUAAACUCUGGGAAAGGAAAACAAGGCAAAAGGCAUUUUAAGAAAAGAAUCCUGAGCAACCUGAAGGCAACCUACAGAAGGUGUGGACUGGCGAGGUCCUAGAGAGAAUAAAAGGGGAGAGGAUAGGCCAGUGAGCACGCUCUUCGUCAUAUGCCCACACUUCCUGUCCCUGCACAUUACAGUUCCGCAUUUUCAGCCUUUGGAUCAUGGACAGCCUGGGUCACAGGUGAACUAUCUGUCGUCUGGUUUUUCUAGCUUGCAGUUGCUCUAUUUGUUCAAUGUCUCUACUUUGAUAAUGGUCCGAGCCAUUUCCCUUAAUGAAGCUCCUC